UAGGCAACACACAGGACGGAUUAUAUAUGAUGAGCACAGAGUCAGACUGGCAAUAAUAUGGCCAGCAAUUUUACGAUAUAAAUUAGGUCAAAGACGUCAACUGUGAUCAGUAGGCAUCACACAGGACGGAUUAUGUACGAUGAGCACAGAGUCAGACUGGCAAUAAUAUGGCCAGCAAUUUUACGAUAUAAAGAAGGUCAAAGAAACCCGGGACAAUCCAGGACAAAAGAUCUAAAUCCGGGACAAAUAUUGUUUUUAG